rnacentral:lncRNA from 1 species
UUUACUAAACCCUAAUUUCUUCUUCAUCUAAAUUCUGCCGAAAUUGCAUCAAAUUGCCAUUUGAAGUUUUGAUCUUUAAAAGCAAAGGUUAAUCUUUCUCCUCCUUAAGAACCCUAAUUUCUUCUUUUAUUAUUGUUAUGUCUUUCUCCUAAAAUUCAAUUUCUCUCGGUUAAACAUUGUAAUGUGGCUGAUGUUUCUAAUUUUUUCGUCGGCAAAUUAUCUGACUUUGGUAUCGUUUGUUUGUGUUGUAGUUGUUGCAAUGCCUUCAAAACGCUUGAAUUUGACAAGGCUUUGCACGGAAGAGGAAGAAAAUGAGUCAAGUGGAGAAAUUUGAUGCCACCAUAGCUAUGUGCUGCCUUUGUUAACAGCUUGGACCCCUUAGAGCCCAGGAAGAAGAUAUUGGGUUUGUCCAUACUAUGGGGUAAAUAAUAG